CUUCUUUCUCUACUCACUUCCCCCUUAUCUCUAUGACUUCUCGAAAAAAACAAUUAGACCUAAACAUUUCAGAUCUGUUUCUUUAUCUACUCACCUCCCCCUGUUCUCUGUCGAAGAUUUUUAUUGACUCUUCCUUAUUUAAUUUCUCGUCUCUGCUCUCAAAUACCAAGCUUUCUCUGUAAUUUGAACCGCUGAUUUUACGUUUCAACCUCGAAAAAUCCAAGCUUUUCUGUCAAUUGAAGACUUUGUGAUUCUUGAAAUUCGUCUUUGUUUAAUGGGCACAAUUAGGGUUUUCAAGGAGGUUCCCGGAUCUUUGAAAUCGACUUAGUUCAUAGUCACCUCAGUUUUGGUGAUUUUAUUUGAUAAAAUCUGACUGGAUUUGGAGAAGUUGAAGAACAUGUCAAGAAGCUUGAAGAAGCAGUUGGCUGGAAGAAGAUAGGACCCUUUGAUUGGUUUCAAUUUUUAUAGCCCCUCAUGGAAAGGAAACUGGUCCCAGCUCUGCCUUACCUGCAAGAUAAUUAGACCGGUGCGAUCUAAACACUCUCCCACAUGUAAGCGCUGCGUUGAGCAGUUUGACCAUCACUGCCUCUGGAUUUCCAACUGUGUUGGUAAGAAGAAUAAACGACUUCUUAGUCUUUGUGAUCAUGGGAGCUUUAACAUCAUUCGUUGGCGGCACAACUGCUGUUCAAAGUAUGUGACUGAAACAACUCUCCCUAGCAAUCCUACCAUUGAACAUACCGAUGCUGCCGUGUUUCUAUUUUUCCACUUGAUCUUGGAACAUUAGUGGGAACUACUUAGGUUUCAAUGAUGGAAUACAAAGCAAUUGUGAAUGUGCUACAAACCAUUUAUUAUGUAGUUGUUCAUCUAUUCUUUUUCUAAUUAUGUUUUUUUGAGGAGGAUGAAGUAUUCUUUUUUUAGUUCUGAUUUUUAAUUUUAUUUUGUAAUACAGUUUUUUUUUGUAAUCAUGGCUUAGAAUAAUCAAUAUAGUAUUCGAAAUAUGUUUUAAAUUA